UCGCUGCACAUCGUUCGUCGACCGUUAUGCAAGCUAGCCAAGGUGGGCUCUUCUUAUCCAUUCCCCUUGAAUAUUUUCGCUGAAUUAGUUAGUUACCUUCUCCGGUGCAGAUGAUGAAGCCGAUCACCAUGAAAAGAGGAUGCACCUGGCAAAAUCAAACACACAAAAAGCUGGGUGGUGGAGUUCAACUCCCAGGAAACGCCAUCCCUGAAGUGCAGCACCCAGACGAGCGUGAGCGUGAGCACGGCGGCGGCGAGGAGCUGCGCCAUGACUAUCACGGGCAGCGCCGAGGCCCGGAAGCUGGCGCCGCUCUUGACCGGCAUGGCUUCCUCGCCGUUUGUCCUCCCGGGCGCCGGCAGAAGUAACACUGCGAUUACAACGGCAAAGUGCGUGCUAGCUUCUGCAUUAUUGCGUGGGCUCUGGAACGGCCGGUUAUAAGAAGAGCUUGGGGGUGUCCCGGUGGAGGAUCCAAGGCGCAUGCAGGCAGAACUGGGUCAAGAGACAAUUUCUUUGCGCGUGUGUUUUGCACAUUUGGCCGGCUUAGCGUGGUGUUGGAAUAGCAGAUUGAGUUUUUGGCUGUCAGCUUA